rnacentral:rRNA from 1 species
UACGUAGGGUGCAAGCGUUGUCCGGAAUUAUUGGGCGUAAAGAGCUCGUAGGCGGUCUGUCGCGUCUGCUGUGAAAACUCGGGGCUUAACCCCGGGCCUGCAGUGGGUACGGGCAGACUAGAGUGCGGUAGGGGGAGACUGGAAUUCCUGGUGUAGCGGUGAAAUGCGCAGAUAUCAGGAGGAACACCGAUGGCGAAGGCAGGUCUCUGGGCAUUAACUGACGCUGGAGGAGCGGAAAGCAUGGGGAGCGAACAGG